AUUCCUCCUGCGCGGGAGCUUUGGGGACGCACUUGUGGAUUCCUAGGCCUCUUCCGUUUGCCUCUGGGACUGGCGAUACUCGAGAGAUGUCUUGAGGCCUUCCAGACCUUGCUCCACCUCCACCACCAGGUCUCCAGUCCUGAGCCACAUGCUGCCAUUUUUGUCUCAGAAGCACCCCUCUUCCAGGUGGAAGACUGAAGGUCUGAAGAGUGGGAAGACCCAGGAGCAGGCAAGGCCAGGAAGAUAGGAGGCAAAUCAAGAAAGAGAAGGAAACUGAAGCUAGUGGGAAGUGCUUCAAGUUGGAGAUGAUGCUGAGAUGGCCAAAAAGUGAGAGGUGGAAAACAUUUGGAGUGAGUUAAGGAGAGAACGCGAGGCAAGGAAGUGAAGCCGAGUUUGGACCAGAAGGAAGACCAAGGUGUGGAUAGCCAUGCAGUUGUGUCUGCUUGUCUCAUCGUCUCACUUUCAUGGGAAGCUCUUUAAUCUUGGAGUUCAGCACUCUCCGGUCAUGUGGUGAAAGUGGGUUGGAGCAAAGAUGAAUUAGAGGAGUGCUGCUUCUAUUGAGGAUAGGAGGCAUGAGUUUAAGGGGCAAGUUCCAUUCUUCCCUGAAGCAGCAACCUACACCAAGGUAGAGAUGACCACCUGUCUCUGGUUCUUCUUGGCCCCACUGUUUGGACUCUUGGCUUCUUAAGAAGAUGAUUUCUCCCAGAUGAAAUUCUUGUCGGCAUUUAGUUGUAUUAAAAGUCAUUUUUGGUGCUAGUGGAUGAAGCCUUUUCCUUUAAAAAUAAUAGCCAGGUUAG